UUUUUUUUUUUUUUUUUUUUAACCUUUCUUCUGGGCAGGUGUACUUUUCAAUGUUGAGUUUUGCUUUUGACUUCUUAGUAUAUUUGAGCAGGAUGAGUUUGGGCAAGAAUCUUGUCUUUUAAAAUGCCAAACAGCUAAGUAUGGUCAUUUUAAAACAAAUUCCCCGACACACACACACACAAAAAAAAUGGACUAUCAGUAACAUGAUAUUUUUUACCUAGGAAGAUAUAUCCUGAAGGGAGGGGGAGGGAAAAGAACUAUAAGAAACCAGCACAGACAUGUGACACGAUCUGGUUUUGUGUGGAUGUGGUUCACCCGAGAGCCACGUGGGUGUGGCGAGUAGAGGGUUGAGAGAAAUGGCUCCCAGCCUGAACAGAACGCAGCAGGCUUCACUAGCAACGGAAACCAAAGUUCCCAGGGAGUCACGCAGUGCACAUGCCCAUCCCAGCUUCUGGGGGAUGUGAACUCGAGCUCAAUCCCAAGAUGCCCCGGGGCAUGUCUUCAGUGGCCCAGUCUUAAGUACAGCAGCAACCAACAAGGCCAUCUGAUGUCCACUUCAGACAACAGACCCCUUUUUGUCCCCUGAAAAAGCAGGUCAAAAGCCCGGGCGAAGCGUUUACGCGGAUGACCGCCUGCUGUUACAAGGUAAAGCCCUGCUCUCCUCUCUCCUCCCAAAGCAAGGAGAGAAAUCCCACACAUUUUCCCAAAGCUUGACCCUUUACUGGUUUCUAGAGAAUUCUCUGAAAGGAAGCCUGCAGUUCUACACUGCUUGCUCCCUACUUCUAAGGCUAAGCAAAUUAUGUCUCCAAGGAGAGAGAAGACACUGGAACCCUGACCCCACCAGCCACCUCUGUAUGUGACUGGCUGCGCUGGGAGUCUUGCAAGGGUCACUUGUCAGACGGGCAUGUGCACCCUGUGUUAGUAUUUGCUCUAACGUGUCACGCUUCUGACUCUGCCAGCUUACAAUCUGUAUCUGAGUAAUUCACAUCUCCCCCUUCCGCCUCCUCUAGCCUGUUGAUCCUAGAAUCGCCUGUGUCUUCGUGAAUAUGAGUUUCUCCUACCUUUGCCUGUUUUUCUAAUAGGUCCUUUACAUGUUGUUAUUUUUGUUUUUUUCCCCCCUCUCCUUCAUGUGCUUUCUUUUUGUGAAAUUUGAAGGCUACUUACUGCAGGGACUGUGAUUUUUUUAAGCUCUGUUUCUUGCACAGAUACCAGCAAGUAUUUACUUUGACAGCUGUGUUCUCCAACGGAACCUCAUACAAAGUCAGGAUUUAACAUGACUCUUACCACUUUAACUACUUGCCAGUGGACUAUUAGCAACCACUAUGUCCUAGUGUGUUACCUAUCCUUACAAUGUUAGCCAUCGUUUUACUUAAUGACUAUCACUCCUAUAGUGAUUUUUCUAAUCCCAGCAUCCCUUGCCCCCUGCAAACCCAUACAGCCAUACCUUAUCCUAAUGGCAUUAACUACACAGUCCCUAGCUCCCUGACUUAGUCAUUUGCAUAAUCCUAUCAUUGCAAUUAAAUAGCAUGGCAAAGAAUAUUUACCGAAUAACAGUAUUUUCCCACUUGAAUUAUUAACUGUUUGCCACUCAAUAGUUUUUUCCAGAUCCCUGAAUUCAUGGCAGAAUUACUGGUUCUAUCUGUUCUUCUCUGUCUCUCUCUGUCUUUGUGGGGUCUUGGGAAUACAAGUUCUCUACCACUGAGCUAUGUCUGGGAUACUCACACACACACACACACACACACAAAGAGUUUUGAGACAGGAUCUCAUUAAGUUGUCCAGGCUGGCCUUGAACUUACAAUCCUAUGAUCCCAGCAAUGUUCUGGCUUACACUGUCAUUUCAUUCUAGGUCUUACAAAAGCUCUCAAGUGCUCACAGGCCAUAGUCCCUCACUCAUUAGCGUAAGCUCUUGCUGGACCCUCAUCUCCUGAUACAGACAAGUGCUUGUAUCAACCCCGGGAGUCGCUUUUGAUAUAGCUAACAAAGUAAACCAGAAUUCCCUUAAAUUCACAUGUGCCUCUCUCUGGAGAGACCAAGUGUAAUAGGGCCUAAAUUACAAGCUCAUACAAUCAAGUCACAGGAAGGCAGAUUUAAAACUAGUAUAAACAGGAAUUCAAAAACCUCAUUUAGCUUUUAAUUUUUAGUUUUACCUUAUUCUUUGAGACAGGGUUUCUCUGUAUAGCUUUCGCUAUCCUGGACUUGCUCUGUAGACCAGGCUGGCCUCAAACUCAUAGAGAUAUGCUUGCCUCUGCCUUCCGAGUACUAGGACUAAAGGUGUGUGCCACCAUCUUUACUGUGGACACAGACAACACACAUACAGAGGCACACCUAUGCACACAUACACACACACAUGUGAACAUUCAGAGACACACCCAAUCACCUGAAUUAGCCUGAAUAUUGCUAAGACAUUUUCGUCCACUCAACUCACAGGGUUCUCUUAAACAUAUAUCUUGCUAUUCUUUGGGGGGCGUGGAAUAAGUAAAUAUAACUCUUUCUUAAUUUGCCUUUUCAGAAUAUCUUUUCUUUUUAAUAUUGAUGAUAAAAUUAUACUUAAAAAACAUGCAUUUAUCAGGACUUGAGAAACAGUGAGAGUGAUUCAAGCUCAGAGGAGGAGCAGAGGAUCACUACCCGGGUCAUACGAAGGCGUGUGAUUAUAAAGGUACCAGGAGCUUGGAGCGAGAUGGGCUGCUGCUGGGUCUAGAAGCCUUUAAUGAGCGUUGGGAAAUUCAGCAUGUCUAAUAACCUGGCUGUUUCUUUGCUGUUUCUCGAAGGCUUGUUUCUUGAAGUCCUUGUAAAAGAACGACCCAAAAGGAAAGCUUGUUGUGUGCUAGUGUGUGUUUUGCGUGAUUCUGUCUGAGAGCUCCUGGCACUUGGGUUCCUCUCUCUGUCUUGGUGAGACACAGGGACAGUGGACACAGGGCUCAAUCGACACCCCAGAAUCUAACGUGGAAGAGAGGGAAGUGCCACAGGCUGGACUUGGAAAAGAAAGCCAUCAUCUCAUUAUCAAACGGUGACUGAAAAGUUUAGGUCACAGCCUGGCACUCACAUGUGCGCAACCUGGGAAACUCCAGAAACAGGCGCUAGCAAUACUUAACACAUGCCCAAAAUGAAGUGAACUUUUAAGUAUUGGGACCAGUUUAGAAGUGAAAAUUCCACCUUCAUCCUGCACAGCUGAGAGCACAGUACCUCCCUUGUGACAAGCCAUUCACAAUGCGUGGCACGCCGAGGGUGAGCCACACCACCUGAGACUUCUAGUGGGUAUCUCUGGAGAGGGAGAGUAAGGAGAAGUGCACACUGCACACUGUUUAUUAGACUCCACAACUGCAGUGUCAGAAGACUCAACCCAAAGCUGGAAAGUUCUGUAAUUAGGUUCCCUCCAUUUCUUAAUCCUGCUUGGGGGGGGGGGGGCAGGGGGGAGGAGCCAUCAGAUCUGCUCAAAUACAACUUCUCAAAGAUUCUAAAAACAUUCUAAAUGAAGUGACUUUCUACAUUUUGAACUCUUCCCCUAACUCAGCAAUGAGUGAACACUUUAGGUGCUGGCCACACCCUGAGUCACUCCUGUGGAAAUCCCAACAGGCAAACCGAUUUAGUGAUGUCUAUAGUGUAUUUUCAAAUAUGUGGUUUCCUGUCUAUGAAAUCCUCCCAGCUGGUCACUGCUCGCAUGUUCGCUGUGCUGGCAAAGCAGGGCCUCAGGGUUCUCUGGUCCUGUGGCUCACUCCCAUGAAUGAUGAUUAGUGAAACACCCAGAGGAAACACAUUGAACAUACCAUCAGGCAAGCUGCUUUUCCCAUCUAAUAUGUGGCAGCCUUCUGUGGCUUCACCCCAGUAUUCUACAGCAGCCUCCCCUUUAAAUGCUAACCAAACUCUACUAGAAACGCAGUUACACAGAUACUACAAAGCCAGAGGGAUUU
rnacentral:lncRNA from 1 species